UCUUUGCUAGUAUAUCGGUUAGUACACGCGCUUGUCAUACCACUGACCCCGUGCCUGAUACGCGCGAAAGCUGGGUUCGACUCCCAGGCAGAGAG